rnacentral:rRNA from 1 species
AGUGAACGCUGGCGGUAGGCCUAACACAUGCAAGUCGAACGGCAGCACAGUAAGAGCUUGCUCUUACGGGUGGCGAGUGGCGGACGGGUUAGGAAUACAUCGGAAUCUACUUUUUCGUGGGGGAUAACGUAGGGAAACUUACGCUAAUACCGCAUACGACCUACGGGUGAAAGCAGGGGAUCUUCGGACCUUGCGCGAUUGAAUGAGCCGAUGUCGGAUUAGCUAGUUGGCGGGGUAAAGGCCCACCAAGGCGACGAUCCGUAGCUGGUCUGAGAGGAUGAUCAGACACAUUGGAACGGAGACACGGUAAAGACAACUACGGGAGGCAGCAGUGGGGAAUAUUGGACAAUGGGAGCAAGCAUGAUCCAGCCAUACCGAGUGGGUGAAGAAGGCCUUAGGGUUGUAAAGCACUUUUGUUGGGAAAGAAAAGCAGAAGGUUAAUACCCCGCUGUUCUGACGGUACAAAAAGAAUAAGCACCGGCUAACUUCGUG